AGCAACCAGAGCUCCUAAUGAUCUAUAUUCUAGGAAGACAUCAGCAAAGAGAAGAUGAACCUUGAAGUGGAGACUAGUACCGGCAGGCUGGAGCUUCAGAACCAGAAUAGCCCAACAGAACCGCGCAACACACGCUGGACAUCUGAGGAUGGCUGCAGCUAACAUCUCCCUAAAAUAGAAAUGCAAACAUGCGUUUCUAUUCUAUCCCAGUGUCUCCUGGACCCAGAUCCCAACAGAACCAGGGAUCUGUUCAGAACCGGCCCUCCAGGCUCUGAGGCUGGAAGGGGGGGCGCAGCGCUGACGCAGUGUGAGUCGCGCUAACAGCAGCUAGCGUGUUAGCUAUGUAGACCGUUGAUGUCGCUCUCUAACAUCGAUACAUUUAAACCAAACGAUGCUCAGCCUGACGGUCCACUGGGUGGAGUCUGCCUCGUCUGAUGUGCCGUC